ensembl:lncRNA
CGCGCUAGAAGCGAUGCCACCGGUUUGUCUCCGACUAGAACUUGUUUGGGGGUUUGUAGAAUAGACUGUAUAAAACAGGUUUGUAGUCAAUUUUAUUUGAUCGCUGAGCAAAUCAAUCAGCAGCAGAGGUGAAGACGAAGACGCCGGGGUGCUUUCUGCUAUCCAGUUCGGAGCAGACUACACCUUCUGCCCCUGCAGUUCACACCAAUCCCAGCAGCCACAUGAGAAACCAUGUGCGGAGAGAGAGGGAGGACUUGUCGUGAUACAGAGGAUAAAAAGAAUGCAAAAAAACAACAACAACAAAUGCAUCUCGUGCGUAGAUGCUCAUAGUGUGAGUGGUGUGAAUUUCAUGACUUGAACAUGUGAUGAUCACCAUCUCAUCUAUGUGCUGGCCUCAUUCUAUCACCGUCUCAUUCUUUGUUCUUUUAUAUUAAAAUAAAAGAAAGAAAACUUUAGUUGAAAAUUAAAAA